CAAUGGGCGAAAGCCUGAUCCAGCAAUGCCGCGUGCAGGAUGAAGGCCUUCGGGUUGUAAACUGCUUUUGUACGGAACGAAAAGCUUCGGGUUAAUACCCUGGAGUCAUGACGGUACCGUAAGAAUAAGCACCGGCUAACUACGUGCCAGCAGCCGCGGUAAUACGUAGGGUGCAAGCGUUAAUCGGAAUUACUGGGCGUAAAGCGUGCGCAGGCGGUCUUGUAAGACAGAGGUGAAAUCCCCGGGCUCAACCUGGGAACUGCCUUUGUGACUGCAAGGCUGGAGUGCGGCAGAGGGGGAUGGAAUUCCGCGUGUAGCAGUGAAAUGCGUAGAUAUGCGGAGGAACACCGAUGGCGAAGGCAAUCCCCUGGGCCUGCACUGACGCUCAUGCACGAAAGCGUGGGGAGCAAACAGGAUUAGAUACCCUGGUAGUCCACGCCCUAAACGAUGUCAACUGGUUGUUGGGUCUUAACUGACUCAGUAACGAAGCUAACGCGUGAAGUUGACCGCCUGGGG
rnacentral:rRNA from 1 species